UUCCGGUUGAUCCUGCCGGACCCGACUGCUAUUUGGGUGAGGAUAAACCAUGCGAGUUGUAUGGGAUACCUAAAUUUCCCAUGGCAAACUGCUUAGUAACACAUGAUCAACUUACCCUAUGGAGAAAUAUAACCUCGGGAAACUGAGGAUAAUAUUUCAUAGUUGAAUAGGCUUGGAAAAGUUUUUCAAUGAAAGGGAUAAGAAAAAUAGUUCUUAUCUGCUAUAGGAUAGGAUCGUGGUCGAUUAUGGUUGUUGGUGAGGUAACGGCUCACCAAGCCGAUAAUCGAUAGGGGCCGUGAGAGCGGGAGCCCCAAGAUGGGUACUGAGACAGCGACCCAGGCCUUACGAGGCGCAGCAGGUACGAAACCUCCGCAAUACACGAAAGUGUGUCGGGGUUACCCAAAGUGUUCUUAUUGAACUGUGGCAGGUGAGUAAUGUCCCCUGCUAGAAAGGAGAGGGCAAGGCUGGUGCCAGCCGCCGCGGUAAAACCAGCUCUUCAAGUGGUCGGGAUAAUUAUUGGGCUUAAAGUGUCCGUAGCCGGUUUAGUAAGUUCCUGGUAAAAUCAGGUAGCUUAACUAUCUGUAUGCUAGGAAUACUGCUAUACUAGAAGGCGGGAGAGGUCUGAGGUACUACAGGGGUAGGGGUGAAAUCUUAUAAUCCUUGUAGGACCACCAGUGGCGAAGGCGUCAGACUGGAACGCGCCUGACGGUGAGGGACGAAAGCCAGGGGAGCGAACCGGAUUAGAUACCCGGGUAGUCCUGGCCGUAAACGAUGCAUACUAUGUGAUGGUACGGCCAUGAGCCGUGCCAGUGCCGUAGGGAAACCGUUAAGUGUGCCGCCUGGGAAGUACGGUCGCAAGGCUAAAACUUAAAGGAAUUGGCGGGGGAGCACCACAA
rnacentral:rRNA from 1 species